CGCUCACCAUCACACCCCCCGAAAGUAUCAGCACCCGUCCUCCACUCCCGACACACUCACACUCUCUCUUUCCCUUGCCCUGUGCCUGUCUCUCUCCAUUCUACCAAGUAGCCGGCCAGACCUUUUCUCUCUCUCUCUCUCUCUCUCUCGCACUCUCUCUCCUGCCCUGUCGACAUCCAUCGAGCGUUCCACGCCUUUCUCCCUCAGCUUCCAAAGCCGUGCUGUCUACCGUUACUGCUGCUGUCCGUCCGUGUCUCUAUCUGCAACAAGUUCCCUGGGACAUUUUUGGAAACUUUUUUUCCUCAAGACAUUUCUUUUUUUGCUAUCUCCCUGGAGACGCCAGUGCAUGUGGUGCUGUGUGUGAAAGGGUCUAGUGUUGCUCUUUCCUGGGGGUCUCUGUACACCAUUAACCAGAGGAGAAGAUUACUUGACAUCAUGAUCAAAGUUCAGCUGCUGCUUCUGCUGGCCCUGGUCGGCCCCCUCUGUGCCGUCGCACACGCAAGCACACUGGUGACACCAGUAGAGCUGGUGACAGAUUCCCCUGCUGUUCCCGAGGCCACUGAGGCCCUCAAAGAGGAAGAUCCCGUAGUCACCCAUGCCCCUUCGGCUGAACCCGAGGCUGCGGCCGAGGAUGUCGUAACGGACACCCCUGCCGCCGAGGAUGUCGUAACGGACACCCCUGCCGCCGAGGAUGUCGUAACGGACACCCCUGCCGGAGAAGAAACCGCCGCUACUGAGGCUGCUGCCACGGACGUCGCUCCCGUGGAGACCGAAGCCCCUGCCCCUACCACUGAAGCUGCCAAGCAGGAGGCGGCCACAACUAACGCCCCUGCCAUCAUCACCGAGGCCCCGGCGGAGCCCGAAGCCGAGGCCACGACAGCUGCAGAGGCUAAGGAGGAGGUGGAGGAGCCAGAGGAGGGUAUGGGCUCUGGACAAGUGGUUGGUAUUGGGAUUGGUGCAUUGGUGGCAGUGAUCGUUGUCAUCGCCGUGGUGAUCGCCGUGGUGAGGAGAAUGGGUAAAUAUUCGUAAGUACCUCCAAGGGAUACACAUAUGUAACUAGAUUGAGUGCAGGCAUGCUCGUGCACGCAUACAGUGUGCAUGUCCUGUUUGCCUUGUCAUGAUCUUAGUAGAGGACUAAGAAUGCUGUAGAAGCAUGAAGCUACCAUAAAACCAUGCACAAUACUCUUACAUUUCCACAACUUACGCAUGCAGAUACAUAAAAAUGGUAUCCCGAGUUCGUCAGACUCUGGGGAAGUAGAUAAAGGACCAAACUAUCCCUUUAAGCCACAAUGGUGAAAUUGGUGUAAGGGUUGUUACAAAGAAUGUGUUUUAAUAGGUAAGACACAACCUGCAUCACUUUUCAACCAUAACUGGUCCUCUGAACAUAAUAUAUUUGAAUCAUAGAUUCAAAUAGAACUGUCUGAAUUCCUUUGAAAAGGAAGUUGUAUUUAUUAACUUUUUAAAUGGGAACAAGAAGCAUGUUCCAACAGACAGCUGCUGUACUCUCUACAACACCUCUUCCUCUGAGAAUGCUAUCAUGUCUGGGGAUGUGCUUGCCUGCUAACGGGGAGCGUUUUCUAUGCCAUAGGGCUGCUGCUGCUGCUGCUGCUGCUGCUGCUAAGAAAAGGGCUGCCAAAAAAGGGAGCAUCUUGGUUUCUAUAAUUUUCUCUUUGAUUGUUUCCCAGUUAACCAUCUUAACCCCCUGACUCUCCAUGGUCCAAUGUCACAGACACAUAACAAAGGCUGCAUCUCAAAUGUCACCCUAUUCCCUGCACUAUAAAGGAAAUAGGAUAUAAUUUGGGAUGCAGACAAACUGUCCGUCAGACAAACUGUCCGACAGGCUGUUAGUUGCUUCUCCUCUCUGAGACAUCCACUCAUGGGCCCAUGAGCCAUCAGGUAUUGUUCAUUCACUGAAACAGGUGGCUCUAUUUGAGAUGAAAUGUCGGGGCAACACCUCAUGUAUUAAGUUAGUAGGUCAAUUUGACAAAUGGUUUCCCAGCUGUGGUGGCAGAAUUUUCCACAACACAGCCGUUUGGCUUUACAUCGUCAUUUUCCGAUUGGCAACAUAAUCAAUGUCAAUCACAUAGUGGUCUGAAACGGAGUAGCAAUUCAAAGCUGUCCUUCUUGAAUGUUCUAUCUCGAUAACUAAUUCAAAGAUAUUUGUUGUUGUCGUUGGUCCAUUUUGAAACGCUUUGUAUGAAUUGACUAGAUUUGGAAUUUAAUACAUUUUACUUUCACAAAUUCCAUGAUUUCAAGUCUGUUUCUCCUUAUUUAAAACCAUUCAAAACAAACUAUAUCCUUAUCCCAGGCCCAAAAUGUCUGUACAGUGUCCAUAACCAAGAUAACACCCAGUAUACUGAGGUGUGAGAAUUAAUUAAAUGACAUGAAUCCAUGUUUUUAUUUCCUCAUUUUGGGGUCAAUGGAGACUCCUUAUAUUUAUGAAUGAUGACAUUACAUUAAAAACUACAGUAUCUACUAAAAGUAAUGUUCUGUAUGUGCUGUGUUAUCUUUAAAAUCAUAAAUCAAGUAUGUUUUUAUAUUUUAUUUUACCAAACCAUCUUCUUCAAUCAUCGACUGACAUUUUUAUGAGGCAUAACCAGAUGUUUAUGUGUGUUGGCCUGUUUGUCUUACUCUCUCUUUCUCCUUCUCGCUUCAUCCCUCAGCCCCUGAGGAGAAAGGCUGCAAGACAGGAAGUCCCCAAAACGUUCUGGCAAUUCUGAUCUAUGUAAUUUCCUGUCAUUAAACAAGCAUUCUACCAGCACUCUAACUUAACCAGGAUCUUGGACUGUUGACAAAAGGAGGGGAAGGUGUGUGGGGGAGGAUGUUUGCCCACCUCUCCUCUUCUCCCCCAACCCCAAGACAGGGCCAUUGACAUCAGCGGUCCUGUACAACCACACAGCAACCCCCCAUACCAACAACCAAACUGAAAAAAAGGUUGCCCACAGGAUGUCACAUUGAAUUUCAGGGUCUUUCAUUUGGAUUUGUAAAAAUAAGUAAGGGAUUAUCUCACUUGUGGUAGAAAACGCUCUCUCUUAUGCAAGGGUGUGUACAUUAACACAGAUGUGCAUUUGAGUUGGUGAAGAGGACCUAUACAAGAAAAAAAUGGGAAUAUGGAAAAAAGGAGACGGGAGAGAAUGUUGUGAAUUCCAUAGGGUGUAUAUACCAUGCAAAGGGACUAUAGUUAUUACUUUAUCAUAUGUUGCAGUUGCUCACUAUAGCAUUCAGUAUAUGGAACAUUGCAAAGCAGCCAAAGGCUAUUGUGGCCAAUGAACCGAACUGAAAAUCCCUCAGAAAAACCAACCACAUUAGUAUUUUGUCACCUUAACACCUAGCCAAUGAGUCCCUCACUACAGAAAUGUUCCAACAACUAUAUGAAGCACUGAAUGCAGAAGUUGAUUUGACAUUGUGCUCAUGUUCUGAGGGUUAGCGAGGGGCUAAUGAAAAGACGGCUCAUUUGCAAGUGUAACGUGACAUUCUGCCAGCUUUAACACUGACAUAAAAACCUAGUACAUAUCUGUGAAAUUUAGCAGAAGGGUUUGUGCCACUGUCUCUGGUAUUCCCUGGAUAGUUUGGAGAUGUUACUAUUGAAGUACAUUAAUGUGAAUUGACUGUACUUUAACUGCCACCCAUUCCAAUAGGACAGUUUUGACGACUUCAGGUUUUCACCCAAAAAUGUGUUCCAUGUACAGGUAGUGGUUAUUAGCCCCCAUUCUGCUAGCAUUAUCUUUUAUAAUGUAUCCACCGUACUUCUGCUUACUUUAGUUGGGAUAGAGUAUACCAAGCAAAAAUACACACACAUUUUCUUCAUAAUCGUUAGUAGUCAUUAAUGGGUGUAAAAAUCAUUCAGUCUCAGCUUAGCUCCGCUUGCUUUAAGAACUCAGUUAAUAAGUGCACUGAAUGAGUGAUGAUAAUUGUUUAAUGAAUCCGCUUUAGACACUGCAAUCGUUUGCGACGACAUUUGUUCUCCGCUUUUGCUCCAUAUUAUCAACAAGUCCUUCAAGUCCUUUUAUUUAAUUGCAGUGUGUUUGUUCAUACUGUUUCAAUAAAAAAGUGAAAACACUCCACAAAUAUACACU
rnacentral:lncRNA from 1 species